CCUACGGGUGGCUGCAGUAGGGAAUCUUCCACAAUGGGCGAAAGCCUGAUGGAGCAACGCCGCGUGGGUGAAGAAGGUCUUCGGAUCGUAAAACCCUGUUGGUAGAGAAGAAAGAGCGGGAGAGUAACUGUGAACGUGUCGACGGUAUCUAACAAGAAAGGCACGGCGAACUACGUGCCAGCAGCCGCGGGAAUCCGUAGGUGGCAAGCUGUAGCCGGAUUUCUUGGGCGUAAAGGGAACGCAGGCGGUCUUUUAAGUCUGUUGUGAACGCCUUCGGCUGAACCGGAGUAGUGCAUUGGAAACUGGUAGCCUUUAGUGCAGAAGAGGCGAGUGGAACUCCAUGUGUAGCGGUGAAAUGCGUAGAUAUCUGG
rnacentral:rRNA from 1 species